rnacentral:lncRNA from 1 species
AAAGAAGUGCAAGUGAGUUCACCGUUGAAUUUACAUCCAACGGUGAGUGACCACAAAUCUCUUAGACCCCUGUAAUCCAAGAGAUUAGAACUGUAUAUAUAUAUAUAUAUAUAUAUAUAUAUAACAUGCACGUACUCGCUCCUUUAUUUUAAAUAAUGAAAAGCAUGAGUAAACCUUCUUAUUAGGCUAUACAUAAUCAAGCUUAGUCUAGCUACUACAUAAUAAUGCAUGCAGAGAAAGAGAAUGUUAUAUAUAUCACUCAUCUUUCUUUAUGUUUUGCUUACAAUUAAUUAAUGUCGUCGGUCUCACUCACUCGUCUACUUAAUAUUAAUUAGUGUCUACCUAAAGUUAAUUGAAAAGGCUAGCAUGCACUACUUCAUUAUUUUAUUUAAUUUUUUUGGUUGUUAUAAGCCUCUGUAGGAAAUGGUAAUACUCAUCUUUCCUAUAGCACUUUUUAAAGCUCCACUCAGCUCAAGGACCUUAACUAAAGUAGUAGAGAGAAUGAAUUCUUGGCUUUGGUCUUUACCAAGGAAUAAGCAGACACACAAAUUUAAGAUAGCUAGCUUAGCAUAUAUACAACGUUUGUAACUGUCAACUGAUGAUGAAUGUGUCUCGUGACGAAAUGUAAACAUUUUACAAGAUAUCUCAAAUAUCUAAUUAAUGUGUCUUUGAGAGUCUGAAGUUAUUGCAAAGGUACCGAAAUCACAAAAUUGCAAUUACGUACGUACCCUUCUAUCUAGAUACACAAUUCUUAAUGGGUCAUGCUAGGGAGACCAACUUUAGAUACCAACUUGUGUACCAACUCUCUAAUAGAGGUGGAGCCCACCAAUACAAUGGGUCCCACACUCUAUUAGAGAGUUGGUACACAAGUUGGUAUCUACAGUUGGUCUCCCUAGCAUUUUCCAUUCUUAAUUGAUUAUCUGUUUUGAUUUGAUUAUAUCUAUGCGCAUGAGUGACUGAUGCCCAAAAAGGCAAAAGAAAGACAAUUAAAGUUGAAGAAAGCUAGCAAGCACAGGAGUCAAGAUAUAUCGUACACUUUCCUCCUCUCAUAAUUACAACUGUCACAAAUUAAUCCAAAAACUAGAAUACAAAAACAAAACCCAAUCCUCUCAAUCGGAAACAUUUGUGUGUAACAAGAAUAAUACAGUUUUGCUAUUUCUAAUCAAUCACGUUAUGUCAUGUACUGAUAACUUCUUCAUUAAACAUAACGUAAUUGGCCAAAAAUAACAAAACAGUGUUAUCCCAAUAUCAUAUAAGUUUUUCUGCCUCUAACCCGUGGAUGAGGGGCAAUGCCAAUGGGGCCUCACCCUCACUCAAUUAUUCCAAUGCUAGCUAGCUAGCCAGGCCUUGACCUUUUUGUUGCCCUCCUCCAUCUCAAUUCUCUAGUGCUAUAUAUAUGUAUAAUAUAUUAUAUGCAUAUCCCAAAACGCAAACCGCCUCAUAGAUACAACCUAUAUUCCCACCUCCCAAUUACUGUUUCAAACCCAAAGCAAGCAAGGUAUAGCCAGCUUAAUUAAUUUACAUUGUCAAUUUGAAGCUAGCUGGCUAACAGAAACCAUGGUAGCCGUACGUGUGAAGCAAGCAGUAGCGGUACUAGUUAAAGUGGCUGCAGUGCUGCUCUUCUUCUUCCUAAUUGGCGGCUGCGCCACCACCACCGCCACCGCUACCUCCACCAUCCGCAGUACUAUUACUUACCCAGAGUUUCAGGAGUUGAACGUAAAAGAAACCAUAGCGGGGACCAAAAUGAAUAUCGGGCCACCUACGGCAGCUGCACGCAACGUCACAAGCAGCAGCAGCAGCAGCCCCACCACCACUGCCAGUACUAGCGAUAGUGGGGGAGGAGGAGGAGGAAAAUGGAAGGUGAAGGUGGUUCACAGAGACACGAUAUCAUUACAAUCUCACCGGAACGGCGGCGGCCAUACCCAUGCCCACGUUUUCCAUGCACGCAUGAAAAGGGAUGCAAAGAGGGUUGCUAGCCUUGUGCGGCGCCUAAGUCAUCGUAUAAGCAGCAGCAGCAACAGCAGCACCAUUGAUGAGGAGGAGGAGAAGGAGGAGGAGAAGGGUUUCGGGUCGGAAGUGGUGUCGGGUAUGGAGCAAGGGAGUGGAGAAUACUUCGUUCGGAUCGGAGUGGGGAGCCCUCCAAGAAGCCAAUACAUAGUGAUUGACUCCGGAAGUGAUAUCGUUUGGGUCCAGUGUCAACCUUGUAGCCAGUGUUACCACCAGUCCGACCCGAUCUUUGACCCAGCCCAUUCUGCUUCUUAUAUGGGAGUCUCCUGCAGCUCCUCAGUCUGCGGCCACCUCCAGAACCCUGGCUGCCAUGCGGGUCGAUGCCGCUACGAGGCCUCCUACGGGGACGGGUCCUAUACGGAGGGCACGCUUGCCCUCGAGACUCUUACGUUGGGGAGCACCCUCAUCCAGAACGUGGCCAUCGGCUGCGGCCAUAUGAAUCGGGGCAUGUUUGUGGGAGCCGCUGGUCUUUUGGGGCUUGGGGGUGGGCCCAUGUCUUUUGUGGGUCAGCUCGCCGGCCAGACCGGCGGUGCUUUUACUUACUGCUUAGUUAGCCGGGCCCGCCGCAGUGGUACUGCUAGUGACACUGACGACGCAGCAGCAGCAAGCGAAUUGGGCGGCGGAGGAGGAGGGUCUAUUGAGUUCGGGCGGGAGGCGAUGCCCGUGGGUGCUGCGUGGGUCCCUCUGAUCCGGAACCCACGGGCCCCGAGUUUUUAUUUUGUGGGCCUUGCGGGUCUUGGGGUUGGAGGGAUGCGGGUACCCAUAUCGGAAGACAUAUUCGGGCAAAGCGAAGGAGGGGUUGUGAUGGACACGGGCACCGCCGUCACAAGGUUCCCGACGGUGGCUUAUGAGGCGUUCCGGGACGCUUUCGUUCAGCAGACCUCCAACCUCCCUCGCCUCUCCUCGGGAGUCUCCAUCUUUGACACUUGCUACGACCUCAACGGUUUCGUGUCGGUUCGGGUGCCCACCGUUUCGUUUUAUUUCUCGGGUGCGGGUGGACCCAUCCUCACCCUUCCGGCCAGCAAUUUUCUAAUUCCGGUGGAUGACAAGGGCAGUUUUUGCUUUGCAUUUGCUCCUUCCCCAUCCGGGCUUUCCAUAAUAGGCAACAUUCAGCAAGAGGGCAUCCAGAUUUCAUUCGAUGGAGCCAAUGGUUUUGUGGGAUUCGGACCCAAUGUCUGCUAAUUACCAUAUAAUAUUACAUUACGGUACCUAGCUAUUAAUACAUAUAUGGUAAUUAAUAUUUCCAGUUGAGUAGAUUAUAUUAUAGAUGAUAGAUAGCCAUUCUCUUUUAUUUAGUUAAACCUUGAUGAAGAAGAACUUACUAGAAUAUAUCAUGGAGGGGGUGGCUCUUGUCCGUGUGUGAAUGUGAAUGUAUGACAAAUGUAAUAGUAAUAUUCUUAUGGACCAGGACCAAAUUUCUAAAAAUAAAAAAGUAUUGCUUUUCACCUUUUCAAUUUUUAACCUUUCACUUGAAGAGAAAACUGAAAAGGGCGGAAAAUUAGCGGGGGUAGUUAUGAAUUAUUAAAUGAAUGUGAAGACAGUCCUCAAAAGAAUCACAAAGGUCAUUCAUUAUUGCAUUCGCUACUAUGCUAAGUCUACCAGACAACACUUGGGGUUGCCUUUCUUUAGUGUGUGUUUUGUGUGAACUACUAAAGGAAUGAGGAUCCAAGAGAGCCCUUCCUCGACGAGAAACAAUUGUGUGAAACGGGUUGUUUUGCUAAACUCGGUCUGUAAUGACAUGUCAUGCGUGAUAACUUAUCUUCUUUACAGUAUGUGAUUAGUAGGCUUCUAGCAUGCUGCUGACUGUUUGUAGUGUUGGAGUCGUGAUCAUGAGCUGAGGGAGCCACCACCGUUUCGGACAUGUGACACCAACAAUCAAUCACCACCUUUGGCCUUUGGCCUUUGGUCUUUGGCUUUGGUGCGUGUGACCCAAGUUGGGGUGCAUUCAAGCAAUGACUUUUACAAAGGCAUUCAUUCAUUCGUUGAUUCACUCACUUUUUUCCUCUUUUUGCAACAUUCAUUAUAAGUGAAGUGACUAGAUUAUUUUACUUUUCAGAUUAGGGCCAGGCCGGGCCAGGGAUAUCAUAUUAGGAACCAAAAAUGAAGUUACUUUGUAAUAAUAAUACCAUAAAAAGUAAGUUGAUCUUGAUUUGAUACUACUAGCACUAGUACUAACCACAUACCAUUUCAUUUUGAUUUUAAUGACUUAAUUAAUCAGGUUUAUCAAGUAUCAUCAAUGCAAUAUCAAUACAGAAGAAUGAAUGAACAAAUACAGGACAUGCCUGUGAGAUCACUUUCCCCACAUUACUAAUAGGCCCACCACCACUAAAGUCAGAAUUUGUUGGUGAAAUGUGGGAAAAAGUAAGGGAAUCAAAAUAAAAGUAAUAAUAUGAUUUGACUGACUGACUGGAUUUUGUCCAUGAUCUGCUGCUUUCCUCAAUCCUUCGGCUUGGGUUGGGAUAUACUUGAAUUUUUUCUUUCGGAAUUAGCACAACCCAGUUUCCUUUCCACGGCACCCCACCCAUGCACCCAUGCACCCAUGCACCCAUGCAAGCAUGUCAUGUCAGUCUCCCUUUUUAUUCACACAAAUCUAAUCCUUCAGCUUAUAUUCAAUGCCUAAAAACGAACCAAAUAUGAAAAAAGAUUACUUACUGACUCUAUUGCUUAACUAGUGUAGUAGCAUUUAUUUCCAGUGGGAAACCAAACCACUAAUAGCUACUGUCAGCUCUUUCUUCGACACUUUUCACUUUCCUCCACUCCACUCCGCAUUGCAUUGCGUCUCAUUUCCUAUAACUCAACUAGACAAAUCGAAAAUGUCCCAUCCCAUUGCAAGUAACAACCAAUGAUGAUGAGGAGGUCCGUAUCUUACAUUUUUCCUUCCUCUUCCUCUUCCUCUUCUGUUGUUCACAACAUUUGAUCUUCUCUCUUGUGAACAGGCAGCAAGCAUUAAUAUCACAUAAGCAACAUUUUAUAUUCAUUAUUAUAUGAACAAAACUAAAUCAAAGCAAGGUAUACUAGAGUCUUUUGUACAAUAAAAUAGAUUAGAAUAUUUACAGCCACCCUACGGGUGCUGCUACCCAGCACUUGAGGGGAACAAAAAAUGCCUUCUUUGGCCUGGGAAGUCAAAAAACGGACGCAGGUUAGGAUGCACAUCUGUCUACACCCAUGACAGAGCCUACAUCAACCGGCUCUGCUACCACAUAUUUCAUGUAUCCUUCAUUAAUCAGGAUCCCGAUUCAUAAUUCUCUAUAAUUGUUUCUAGACAACCCUUGAUACAGCAAAAAUACUUGAGCCUGAGCCUUCCUUGUGUUCUAAACCAUAAAUAGGUAUCUGAGAUCCUCAACUGUCAGACGUGCGGCAGAGCCCCCACUAUGAUCUUCGCCAAAAGCAGACGCAACCAUUUUUCUCUUCUCUUCCUGCAGAACAGCGAGUAAAACAAAAAUUAUUAGAACUAGGGUCUGACAUAUCUGUCUACAUUAUUUCAUCUGUGAGCCUAAAAGAUACGUAAACAUAACAGAAAAAUAGUUUCCUUUUCUCUUUAAUCUUUCUGGCUGCUAUCUAAAAUGAUAAAACUUCAAAAGCCUGACUUUUAGCAUAACGAAUAGAGUGAUGCUAUCAAUCAAGGCAAGACAUACAGGACAUGAAUUUGAUUUAGAGUUUGACAACACAGUAGCUUUUUUUUUUUUUGGUCCAAGACAACACAGUAGCUUAGACCAUCUAACAAGAGAUCUUACCUAUUACUCUCUCUCUCCCCCUCUCUUACACACACUCACACACGUUCGCGUAUACAUAUGCAUUCUCUUCUCAUACUGAUUUGGACCAUUGAUCAAAUUGAUUUUCACAUUACAGGAAUUGAUAACAAAGGCUUGUGAAGGUUUCAGAAGACUUGCAAAGAGGUGAGAGAGAACGAAACACAUGGAGAGCAACCAAAAGUAAUUAUCUUGAGUCCAGGAAUUUAUUUUUAAUACUCGUAAAAUGUUCUUACACCAGAUACGGUUUUAAGGAACCCAUCCUAUAGAAAUCAGAAUUAGAGGGGAAAAAAAAUGCAGCAGCAGUACAAAUCCAAUAUUCAAUAGUAAGUAAAAGAUCAUACCUGUAGAGCUAAUAUCCUGUCCUCCACUGUAUCCUUAAUAGUGAGACGUGUUACAGUAACAGGUCGAGUCUGUCCAAUUCUAUGUGCCCGAUCAACAGCUUGAUCUUCAGUAGUUGGAUUCCACCACAGGUCCAAAAGGAUAACAUGGCAUGCAGCAACCAUGUUCAGACCAAGGUUUCCUGCCUUUAGGGACAUAAGCAUAACAGUGAUCUGCAAUAUAUUUCAAUCAUCAAGAUGUUAAAAUUAAUAACCAGAUUGAGGCGGUAAACGGGUUAGUCAUGCAGUGUUGACAAUUCUUCAUAUAAAAGUACAACACUAAAGCACAUAUAGUUCAGUGCUAUUUCAACAUCUCACAUCCACAGAUACGCAUUCUAACCAAAAUAUCCGUAUGAGGUUCAGGUUUUCCCACCUUGCCCUUUUUUUGUCAAACCCAACUUGCACAUUUAAAAGAAAGAAAACAUGAUGAACACAGAAGCAGUUAUGGAUUAUUUUGAGCAAUUCAUCAAGGUAAGGACCAAAACCUCCGGAUCAGUGUUGAAAUCUUUGACACCCCUGUCUCUUGAUGCCAGACUCAUUGUACCAUCAAGCCUUCUGUACUGUAUACAAUAUUGGUUCAGUGAUGUUUCAACUAAAUCCAACAUGCUAGUCCAUUGGGAGAAAAUAAUUGCUUUUAUUGGUCCAUCAUUUGGGGAGUUUGAAACUACUGUUGUGUGCUUUACAACAUCAACACCUGAAUAGCUACUAUCUGUGAUUUCGGUUCCAAAAUAAGGGUCUCCAUUGCGUCCAGUAGAGUUGUACGUUUCCGAAUUUGAGUCGUUUAAUUGGCAAUGCGACUGCAAAAUCUUAAUAACAGCUCUGAUUUUAGAGGAACUAUACUCAUUCUGUACCACAAUUGAUUUCUCAUCCGACCGAGAAUUCAUUGAACUACCAUCAAGAUCAUUAGAUAGGCAACUUAUGAGAGUGGAUUUGGAGAAGACGUUAUCAGGACCAACUUGUUCUUUACAUUCAAUAGCAGGGCACAUAUUGUCAUCACCCGUCAAAUAUUCUGAAACACACUGAUAGCAGAAAACAUGGCCACACAUAGUAACAACAGGGUCUUCAGGUGGAUCCUGCGAAUAGUAAAAAAGCAAAACUAAGAACUGUCCUAGGCAAUUUCUUAAAAUUUAGAAUUUAAAAAAAUAAAUAAAAACUAGAAAGAAGACUAUGUUCUAACAACUAACAAGCUUGCAAGAUGGUUGUCGUAUACAUUAACUGAUUCUUGGGCAAAUGGGUAUUAUCUACAAACAAAAAUCUGACCCAAAAAAAAAAGCAUGAACAAAAAAAUAUCAGUUAAAUAAGCUAAGUGUUCUAUCUUCGUAAAGCCAGGAUAGGGAGAGAGAAAAAGGAUCAACAUCAAGAGCAAAAAAGCAUCAUAUUUUGCUCUCAGGUUGGUAUAUUACUUCGCAUAAUUUUUCCGCAACCUUUUGAUAAAAAAAUUACAUAAAAUGUAAGAGGAAGUGUGAAGUUGCAGGUAGGUGAUUCAGGUGUAAAAGAUCCAUGGCAGAAAAACCAUCGAUGUGAGAUGUGACGUUGGAAGGGUAAACAUUUUCCUAUUGUCCCCUAAUGCAUCAGAUUUUAGUUCUGUUAUUUUGUCAUUUGGCAUGAAGUUAUGGUUGUCAUGAUUAAGAAUGACACCAUUCCAUAUACUUACCAAAUAGUUAUCGCACGACCAACAAAAUGUUAAUUAGUGAAAGGAAAAGUUUAAGUCUAUCAACCCAUCAAACGUAAUUUUAGUUUAAUAUUUGCUACUUAUUUUUAAUUUAAUUCAAUUUAUAUUUCUGUAUAAGUAAUAUGCAAUAGAAAAAGUCAAUUGGCACACAUGUUAGUGAGUGUCAAGAGACUAGUAAUUUAUAAGGGGAAAAAAUAGAAAAGGAGAAAAUAACUUUCUUUAAGUCCCAUGCAACUCACAGUACACUUCCUAUAACCCAACAUGUGCAUCUCAAUAGCAUAUAUAUUCACGUAUGAAAAAUAACACCGGAAAAUAACAAAAGUAAGAAAACAAAUCGCGCUGAUUCAAUUUCAAACUAACCUGAAACGCUGAUACCAUUUUCACUUAGGAAUAACAAGCAAGCACUGUGUAUCUCCUAUAAUUGGCUGAGCCCCUAAUUAAAGUAUAUAAUACUAAAACUAUAUCCUAGCAGAAGAAAUAUGUGGAGUCAUCACAAAAAUUAACAGGCAGUCAUCACAGCCUCCCUGCUGUGCACGAUGUAGCUGAUCAAAUCCGAAAACAGAUGUUUUGUAGUCUUCUCUAACAUAAUUUAUGUAUAUAGAUUUACAGGCUUUUAUAAGCUACAAAUGAAAAAUGAGGGGGUAGGUUUAAAGAAAGCUCACAUUGCAUACACGACAAAGGGCCAAGGAAGUUUCCAGGAGAUGCAGUAGAUCCAAAAGCAUAUCCCUAGGAAGUUGCCUUGCCAUUUUCACAGAAUCUUUCCCAACACAGUCAGAGUCAUAUCCUUUAACAAGCAGUGGAUGGUCACAAGCCUGCCGGAGGCGCAAAAGCAUCAAAAGGAUAUUUGCAUAGUUUUGAUUAACUGUCCCAGCAGCAGCAUAUGCCUGCAAGAUACAAUAGAAAUCAGCAUACUAGAGUGUAUAAACCUGGAUUGAAUUUUCAUGAGAUCACAACAAGAAUCUUCCUCAAAACUGCAGGUUGGUUAUAUUUAUACCAUGGAGUUCCUACCCGUACCAUUUUGCAAUAAAUAUAAUUUUCCUCAAAAAGUCAACAAAGUAGUAUUGGGCCCAUUAGAAACAUCACACAUCUAUUUUUCCUUUAAUAAAUCUAUUACCAGCAUUUUCCAAUUACAACUAAAAACCCUCAAAAGAUAAGUAAGAUGAAUACCUCUUAAAAAAUAAAGAAGAUGAAUACAGUACAAAACAGUCAGACAGCACUGCCUCAAGUAGAAUAAAUAAAACAAAAUGAAAUGCACCUUGAAUUUAGUGCGUGAAUCAGCUUCUAGCUUGGUAUAGAAGGCCCGCUCCUCAGAUGAGAACUCCACUUUACUCAAAUGUAUUGUUUUUGGCGGUAAUUCAAUUAUAGGUUGCCCAUCGAUCAAUGUUCCUACAUAGAAUAACUAAGUAUGAUAAGCACCAAAUAGUAAUUCGAAGUCCAAAAUUUCAAACUAGACAAGCACACCCACAUUAGUACGCAGUAUUGGAAGAACAACAUAGCAGACAUUUUAUUAAUAGAUCAACAUAUGUAGUCACAAAAAACUAUCAAUAACAUAUCUGUACAAAACAAACCAAUAUCUAAAGAACUAGAAUAAAUUUAUUAGAUGAAAAACUACACCAUAAAAUCAACUACUGACUAUCAAGAAAAUCAAAUAACCAGAACAAAAUUUUCACCUUUUGUUCGACGCAACAUUAUAGCCCUCAGAACUGCUUGGAGCUUCUUGUAACCGUGGAUUGAAUUUCUCGAUAUUGGAACCUUAAUGGUACUGUAAAAUGACUUAUAUACAGCAUAGGGAUCAUAUUUCAGAAAUCUGAAGUAGCUGUAUAAAUCAUCAAUUGCAUUUUGUAUAGGUGUACCGGACAAACACCACCUUCUUUUGGCUCGAAGGCUACAGCAGGCUCUAGCCACUUGAGUUCUGUGAUUCUUAAUUGUCUGAGCUUCAUCCAGUAUCACCCUAAACCAACCCACUCUUGCAAGGGGACCAGAACUGCAAUCAAAAGAGGAACUAUCAAUUCCUUUUCUGCCCUUCUUUCCCUUCUUACUAACAACAGGAGCCUUUUUUCUCUUCUUAUUAAUUGAAAAUUCAGAAGAUAUUCCAUAUUUUUCCCCAUUUUUCUCAUCAGAUUCAUCAUCAUCAACUAAAGGUUGUUUCGGGACUUCAUUUGUUACAAUAGAAUAUGUCGUGAGAACCACAUCAUAGCCAGCCAGUUCUUCAGGAUUCUUUGUCCUGCUGCCUCCAUGAUAAAUAAGGACACGCAGCUUUGCUUCCUCUGCGACCUUAUCAUCCAGCUCCCUAGCCCACUGUCGAAGAACACUUGCUGGACACACAACCAAUGUACCUGCUGCUGGCCUCUGCUUUUUGAAUGACCGUGCAGAUGUACUAACUUCUGGAGUUGAUCGAAUAUCAUCAGAUUCCUCAGUCUUGUUGACUGUAUCUAAACCACCACUGCCAUUGUCCUCAUCAUCAUCCAAAUUUAAAGCUUCAGUUUUAUGAUUGCCUAAAUCUUUAGAUUUUGAUUGUGAAUCCAAAAACCUCUGCAUUUGUAUAAGGGCAAUCAUUGAGAUAGUCUUACCAAGGCCCUGUAAGAUAAAAGCGUUAUGAAUCCAUGUAAAGCAUACAUAUAAAAUUGUUAGCCAAGUAUCUAAAAAUAAGCUAGAGCUACAGGUCAGAAGACUAUUAUUGAAUUACCUGAUCAUCUGCUAAGAUUCCACCUAGACAAUGCAGACUUCUAGUUUCCUUUUGAAGCAUCCAUGCCAAAGCAAUUUUCUGUGAUGUAAAUUUAUUUGAGUUAAAAAACACAUAUUCAUCAAAAUGAUGGAACGAAUUAAAAUAGAUAGAGAGAAACACCUGAUGUCGUAGAAGAGGGACCGACAAAAGACCAUCAGGUAGAGUAGCUUCAACUUUUGGUUGAUUGAGAUCCUGCAAGAACCAAACUUCCUUACCACUUCAAAGAGGAUUCAUUGUGUCAAACUCGGAUAAGAAUAUCUAGAACCAAUCUUAUUCCACGUAUUAUAUUUAAGAUAUCACGAAAACACACAAGUAACUAUUGUGAACACUGCUAUGUUCAGCCAUUUCACAAAAGCUUGUUUGUCAUAAGUUUACUAUUUGCUUAACAAGUUCAUUCUUCAGAGUCACAAUUUAGUAGUAGCAGAAGGAUUUCACCAAAUUCUAAGGAGGUGGCAUAGCAGUAAAAAGAAAUGGGUAAAACGGGAUUAGGAAUAGACUGAGAAGUAACCAGAUCUUCAAAACUCACUCUAUGUAGGUUCACUUCAAACUGGCUUAGAAAAUAAAAGGAGAAAGAAGGAAAGAUGGAACAUGAGAAAGGACCAAAUUUAGGUUCCCUUCCAAACUGGUUUUGACCCCAAAAUUCGUACAAUGAAAAUGAAUUUUUAAUUACCAUAAGAUUACCAAACAACAUUCAUUUUUUAAAACAUGCGAUACCACACAUGCUGGCCCCGUUCUUGGGUUUCCAUACAUACAAGGCUCUUCUAUACCUAACCAUUUUUAUUUUAAUAAAUCUCACAAAAGAAUCAAGAACAAAACAUAUAUCAUACCAAAAAUUACAAAAAUAAGCCAAGUACACAAUGGACUCAUAUAAAACACGAAAAGAUCCAGAUCCUAUUUACACUGUGCAGGUAUUUGAAACAAUGUUAUGCCCGUAGAAAUACCUCUAGUGCUGCUUGAUAUAUCAGUCUCUCAUCACUAUCAGUGACCCUUUCUUCACCUAUGCCAGGAUGGUAUGGGGGGUCACUUGAACUAGCAAACUGUGAAGUAGAAAAUGACUUUCCAUGCAUGAAAGUGGGGGGCAGGACCCUACUCCCACUGCUCUCAGGCCUAACAAAUUCAUUGGCAUUGCCCCUGGUAGAAUGGUCUCUCAUAAAUCCCUUGCCAUUGGUUCCAUAAGUAUCACCAAACUGACUGUGGGCCAUGUUAUCUCUUGCAUUCUGCAGAGAUGGGGGAAGGGUCCUCUUCAAAUCCCGUUGGGAUGAGAUUUUCUCAUAGUCCUUAACAGAAAUAUUAGCGAUUCGUGAAUCCUGAGGCUGUUCCAAAUUUCCAAAAUGUGCUCGAGCAGCCUGUCGACUUGAGGUUCUUAUGUCAUCGCUUGAACUGGGAUGAAACUUCUGUUUCACCUGUGCAUGGUGAUUAAAAUUAGGAGAGCUUCCAUUAGAAGCAUAUGCUCUUCUAGGAGAAGGCACCUUUCUAGACUGCCCAGCAUAAUCUGAAAAUUUCAUUAAUUCUCAUGUAAUUAAUAAUACAUAAACUUAACUUUAAACAUGGGCAGGGCAGGCUCUUAAAAUACAAAACCCAGUCUAACCUUUACUCGGAUUUGAGCCAGUUCCAGAUGCCCAAGGUGGAAGAAUUCUACUGUUGACAGAUUCCCUUUCUUCCCUCUCUGUUUCACUAUCAGAUGAACUAAUAUCUAUAAACUCCCUUUGAUCCAUGAAGGUUGAAAGUUGAGUUUCCCUUUCUUCAACCAAUUUAGAAAGAGAGUUCCUUGAAGGUAAGCCAAUCUAAAAUCACAAAGUAUUGCUGAAAUCUCAUGGUGCAGCAACAUAACCAGAGGAGCAACAUAUUUAUUAAAAUGACUCACCACAUCCGCGCAAUUCUUUGAGAUUAAACUGCCAACCAAUCCACUUAAAAAGGAGCAAUAUCUCCAAGUUGAAUAAAAAAAAUCAUGAAGAUAAUCCGCAUGACCAAACAUCUAAGCAGCUGCAUCCCCUCUUCCUUCAAAAUCAGAAGAUUAAUAAGUUGAGCAGAUUAAGCCGCAGUAAAAAACUUGAUUUUGGAAACCUCUUGCAUGGGAAUGAAAUAUUUUGAAGUUCAUAGAAACAGAUGCAAAAAGGAAGGUGGAUUAGUUUAUCUGGAAUCUUAAAAAUACACACACAGAGAUUAUAUAUAUACAGUGAGCUUCUAUUAAGGGAUUCCUCAAAUAAGCUUAUUUGAGGGACACCCUUGUAGGGCUCACUCCGCAUUGCAUUUCGCUAAUCCAAACCCUCUAUUUUUUAGAUAAUCAUUCAAAGAUCAUCUCUACAAAAAAUCAAUUGAAUCCGAUAUCAUUUGACCACUGAAUUGAGUUAUUGAAAUUUUAGUACUUUCUAGAAGCACCGUGUUCAUUGAUUUUGUAGGACACAAUUGGAUGUCUAAACGGUUUCCGAUUUGUCUAAUUUUUUGCAAGGAUGAUCUGUGAAUGAAGACCUAAAAAAUAGAUGGUUUAGAUCGUUGAAAAAAAAUUCGUAGGAUACCCUAAACGGUGUCCCUCAAAUAUUAUUUGAGGGAUCCCUCAAUAGGAUACCCUAAAGGGUGUCCCCCAAAUAUAUGUAUGUAUGUAUGUAUGUAUAACCACUACAUAUCAACAAUGUAUUUUACAAAGAUAAGAACUAGAAUACAACAUUACAUGGCUGUGCAUGAAAUUCAGGCAAUCAUUUGGACUACAAGUCAGUAGGAUAAGGUCAUAAAUGUUAUUGGCUGAACUGAUAAGACUACAGCAUAGGUCAGCACUAAUUUAAGUUUACAUAUAACAUCAUAUAACAUUUAAAAAACAAAAAGGAAAUAAGUGCCAUUUAACAUGAAUUUCAAAAGAAAUGAAAUCGAGGUCUGGAUAGACUAUAAUAUAAGCAGGUUGAUUCUAAUUAUAAAUGAAACUAGGUUGAUUCUGAUUAAAUAAAUAAAAAAGAAGAAGAUUUUGCCAAAGAGAAUGCAAGCUGAUGAACCCUCGGAUCCAGAGGUUAGUAGCAUUACAUAGGACCACACUCUUUUGCUGUUAACAGGAUAAGAGUGAUACAGAAGCAGACACAAGUAUACCAAAAAUCAUGUGCUAAUAGAAAAAGCGAGAUCCUUGAGGAAGUUGCAUUAUCAGUUGCUCAUUAGUCACUACUUGACUUUAUAUCUAGAUAUCUAUAUGUGGUAAGAACUAAGCAUAUAUCCACUAGAGUAAUUCAAUUGAUUGACUAAGAUAAUAUAGACAAACUUAAUGUUUUUGCAUUAUCUCUGUAGUUUCCUAGCAGGAACUCAAAAAGUGUUGUAGAGUGCUAACUAGUGAACUCUGAUUUUAGUAAAACCAAAAGGCUAAAACUUUGAAUAGGGAGAGAGACCCUAAUUAAAAACCCUACAAACCUUUCAAGAAUUCAACGAUUUCCAUAGGGAUAACAAGUGCCCAACAAUAUUUAUGUUAAACCCACUAAGAAAAAAGAUAAAUUGAAAAAACAAAGCAUGCAGUGGGUAAAAAAACAAGAUGAUAAGCGAAGCCAUCUUGGUUCUUGGUUCAUGAAACUGAACCCAAAGUUCAAAACUUUACCCGGUCAAAUAUAGAGGAAAUAGGAAUGAGGAAGGGAAACCAUACCUGUAAAGUUGUAAUGGCUGAUUCUCAUUGCAGUGCUCCCCACUGUUUAUAGGGUUUACAGUGGAGAAGAUGGACGGAGACACAGCCAACGGUAGCGUUUAGAACAAUGAAAGGCUGUUUUUUUUUUUUUUUUUUUGGGGUGAACUGGGAUGGAAAGAGAUCUUGUAUUACGAACGAGAGUAUCACCCCAAAAAAAAAAUAUUUAAAAUUUAAAAUAGUGCCUGAGUUAAUAAAUACGGAAGAAAAAAAAAAAGUCUUCAACGUGCUUCUUUGGUUCUGGUGUUGAAAAACUUUGAUCAGGACGACCUUCAACAUAUUUAACUAAUGACUUUACUGCAAAAAAAGUUAAUAAAUAAUUUGUUUUGUAUUCGCAUAAUCAUUUUGUUUCACGCCUUAUUCAAUUCAAUUUUUUUUAUAUAAAAAAAAACAUCAUAAAUCCAGAUCCGAACCAUUGUUCGUUUGUUACAGUAGGAAAAGUAGAUGGGCUGAGUCUAGAAGAAGCCCACUAUCUGAGAGAUGGUGGGCUGAGUUGUGAGUUUGUGUCGUGUGUGAGUUCAGUUCAGUUCAGUUCAGUUCAGUUCCAACGACAUUGGAUUGUUACUUUACUUUUGCCCUUUCUUUCUUUCCGUUGUCUACUUUCGAAGAAGAAAAACCGACCUGUUCCUAUCCAUGAUGCCAUGCCAUGCAAGCGUGGGUUGAUGGGGCCGGGUAUGAAAUGAAAGAAUGAUGAACAUCCUAAAGCCCAGCCCAACCCAACCCAAUGCAUGAAUGUCAGCAUCAAGCAGCAUAUAAUAUGUGCGAGAAAAGAACUCUAAGAAUAGGCCCAACCCAACUAUCUCAUCAAAACCAGGGAGAGACAAAUCGUUAAAUCUACACCGUCAGUCAAUACACACUAAUAGCAAUUGGGGAAACGGACGGUAGAGACAUACACAAGUCAUCGAUCCGCGCCAACUGAAGAUGGCGGGGUUCUAAUAAUUGUUUUGGCGGCAACCAAUUUUCCCUCUUCGGUUUUCGUCGAAUUUCAAACUGAAACAAAUCAAAAUAUAUAUUUGCUUUGGGUUCACUUCACCCUUUGAUAUUCAGACAGCGUUCAUACUUUCGUAGAAGAAGAAGAAGAAGAAGAAGAAAUGGGAGGUGGGUCAAUGAAAUCGAACCCAACCAAGGCGAGGAAGAGGGUGGAGGCCACUGAGGAGUCAAGUGUACCUUCUCUUGUUCGUGGCAAGGACGGCAGUGCCUUUGCCCGAUGGUACCCAUUCCCAUCUCUCCUCACCGCUUAUCUUUCUUUUCCUUUCAAAUUUCCCAUUUCUAUUUUUCUUCUUUAUUUUCCAUGUGUGAUUACUUCUAUUGCAUUUAUGACUGCCCUGGUUUUGUUUUCUUGGCUGUGAAGGAAUUUAUACUUUUUAGGGCAGAUUGAUUAGUCAACAUAUUGACUAGAUUGUGGGUUAUUUUGCAGCGAGGAGUGCAACAAGAAUGUCCCAGUGGCACUCAUCAGCAUGCACAGCUGUAGCCUUGAUGCUAAAAUCAAGUUGCAUCUGAGUGGGUUUUGCUUUUUAUCUUGUUUAUUUAUUUAUUUAUGGGGGAGAAUAUUAUAUCAUUUGGUUGAUUUGGUUUGCUUUACUUGUGUAUGUUCGUUCAGGCUCUCAAGUUGUGGAAAGGCAGCCUGAAGCGAAUAAGAAGUCUCCCACAGAGAGGUAUGCCCAAAUUGCUCUGGCUCUUUCUCUUCCUUUGAGUUGCUCUUGCUCUUGCACUUGUGUGAUUUACUUAUCUCUUGAUUUGGUUAAAUUGUAAUUUUUUGUAGGAAGAGGUCCACUACAUCAGAACCCAAGUCAAAGAGAGCUAAGAAGGACAAAGAUCCAAAUGCACCCAAGCGCCCUCUCACUGCCUUCUUCCUCUUCAUGUAAAUCUCAUCUCACCCUCUGUUUCUGUGUGUGUGUGUGUGUGUGUGUGUGUGUGUGUGUGUGUGUGUGUGUGUGUGUGUGUGUGUGUGUGUGUGUGUGCAAUAAUGCAAUUACCAAUAUAAUACAAUGUGCAGCACUGUCAGUUUGUAUGAUGGUUGCAUGUGUGACGUUGCUUGGUGUUAAUUGGGGAAGGAUUUUGUAUACUGCAGGGACGAUUUCAGGAAAUCCUUUAAGGAAGCUAAUCCUGAUUCGAAGCUUGUUAAGACGGUAUGUUGUUUUCAAUCUUAUGUAACUCCAUUCAUGUAUGGUAUGCUAUGUUUUGAUGAUUUUGGGCAUUAGCGCUUUAACUUAAAAAACGGAUUUCAGGUUGCAAAGGAGGGUGGCGAGAAGUGGAAGUCUAUGACUGACGAGGUUUUGUUUUGAAUUCGUUUUGUCUUUUUAAGGUUUUGUUUCGUUGCUUGUCGACAGCAAAUGGUGAAUUGACUAUAAUUUCUUGUGUCGGAUGUCAAAUGUGUUUAGGAGAAGAAGCCAUAUGUGGAUAAGGCAGCUGAGCUUAAAGCAGAGUAUAAAAAAGCAUUGGAGAUGGAGACUGAUGAUGCUGAUGUUGAUGCCGAUGCCGAUGCAGAAGUUGGGGAUGUAAAGACUCACUUUUGCUCAUUCUUCAAUUUUGAGUGUUAUGAUAAUUGUAGCUCAGCUCUUGGGUUAAAUUUUGAUAUAUUUUCUUUUUGUUUCGUUGGUUAUUCAGGAUGAAAUUGAAGGAGGUUCAGAGAAAGAAGCUUCAGAGAAGGAAGUUUAAUGAAUGUGUCCUCCAUUUAGGGAAAUGGUGUCUAAUACAUGUUUCUGGAUUCUUGUAAAUUCUCAGUCUGGUUUUGUUCGAAUAGAUAUAAUGGCAGUUUUGGUAGUUCUGUGUUGAAAUAGGAAAUGUUUAGUGCCUUGCUUACUCACUGUCUUGUGGGAUUGGAACUUGGAAUGAUGAUGAACAGUUGCAUUUCGUAGCAUUUUAAGUUACAAAGUGCAUUUUUGUAGCAUUUGAAGCAAAUGAUUUCUUCUAUAUGCUGUGUCUGGAUGUUAAGCUUAAGUAAAACACCUUACGGAUAUGGAAACAAGGUUUCUUAAAUUAAAAAUGAAUAGGAUAAUCAUGUAAAAAGAAACAGAUAAUAAGUGACUAUCUCUUGGCUUGGCUUGGCUCUUGCAAGUUGCAAGUUACAAUUGCAGUAGACAUCCUAUGUCCUAUAUUAAUUUAUGAUCAUGUCUCAAUGAAACUGGUGAUAUGGUAUGGGCUGCUCCUGCUCCUGCUCCUGCACCCGAGUCAGCUUCUUACUGGCUCUGCCUGCAAGGUGGCAUAGGCUUGCCACAAAGGCACAAAUUGUGCAGAUAUGCAGCUGCAGGAAAAAUGUUAAAUGGUCUCCCUUGUGGGAUCUCCCCACACAACCUGUUUGCCCUGAAGCUUGCGUGCUUGAGACGUUCAAUCCCCAGUAGGCUGUUUGGAAUCUUUCCAGUGAGCCCAUUGAUGGACACGUCAAGCCAUUGAAGCUUCAACAGCAACCCCAAACUUGUGGGGAUGGUGCCUGUUAUCUGGUUUCUUGAUAUAUCAAACCUCUCCAGUUGAGCCAGGUUUGAAACUGAGUUGGGGAUGGGACCAGCGAUCUUGUUGCUUCCUACGUCGAGCAUUUUCAGCCUCAAGCCUUCCCUAAACUCUGGGAUGCCACCAGAAAUUUGGUUGUUGGAUACAUCUACAACCUCCAAAAAUCUGCUUACCCUGUCAUUUAAGAUUCCUGUCGACCCUGAGAGAGAUCCGGUGAGCUGAUUUGCGUGUACAUCCAGGGAAGAGAGGGUGUCGGGCAACUUGAUUUCGGAAAGAUCAGCCUUGAGUUGGUUGUUGGAGAGGUUGAGGUUCUGCAGGCUUGACAUGUUGGCCAACAAGUUUGAAAUUCCACCAGUAAAAUGAUUAUGAGAGAGGUCAAUGGAGUUGAAAGAAUCAGGCUUUGCAAAGCUUGGGAGGGUUCCGCUUAACUGGCAGCCGGCAAGAUGAACAUCUCGAAGCUGUCUGCUCCUGAUCCAAUCUGGAACUUUCCCCAAACUGAGCUUGUUGUAAGACAAGUCUAUUGACAAGAGAGAAGGAAUGCCCGUGGCAAGGGUAGAGGGAAGAGGGUCUGAAAGCCCAUUGGCAGAUAAAUUUAGGUACCAGAGGUUGUGCAACCUUGAAAUGGAAAUGGGAAUGUGGCCGGUAAGGCGAUUGGAGCUCAAUGAAAGACUGGUAAGGGAUUUGAGGCCCUCCACCUGGACUGGGAUUAUGCCGGUCAGCUGGUUUUGGUUCAGGGAGAGGUCCAAAAGCUUGGGCAAGCUGAAGAGGGAAAUGGGCAUCUGACCAGAAAACUGGUUAUUGGAGAGGUCAAUCAAAGUGAGGUUUGGUAAGUAGCGGCCACCAAUGAAAUCUGGAAUGAGGCCGGACAACAUAUUGAAGCUGAGAUCAAGAUACUGCAAAGCAUGAAAAUUUUGAAAAGUGGGAGGGAUUGAACCGGUGAGGAAAUUUCUUUUUAAAUUGAUUUGGACGAGAUUGGUGAGAUGGCCUAGGGUUGGGGGAAUCUGACCCCUGAAACGGUUGCCGCUGAGGGAGAGGCUUUGGAGGGAGGACAACUGACCUAAACCUGGAGGAAUGUUCCCUACGAGGGAAUUGUCUUCAAGGGCCAAUUGGGUGAGGUGGGCGAGAUUAGAGAAGCUCUCUGGAAUUGGACCCGUGAUUUGCUUGAACCCACUGAUUACCAUUACCUCCAAGAAAUUCAAAUUGCCCAGAGAAGGGGAGAGAGUGCCCUUCAUGUAAAGGCCAGAGUCUCUAUCUGCAGCAGCAUCACCAGCAGCUGUAGCUGGUCUCUGCAACUGCAACACAGUAACCCUCCCAGCUGGAUUGCACUCAACACCUUCCCAACCUCCUCCACAGCAGUCUCUGCCUAUCCAUGAAGAAAGAAUUCCUGUUGUGUCCUUGAUGAUUCUGCCUUUGAAGCUCACAAGGGAAGCUCUAUCUGCUUCUGCGCAAACAGGGGAUCCUCCUCCUUCUCCUCCUCCUCCUCCUCCUGUUUCUGUUUGAGCUUCAGAGGAGGACACUAGCACUAUUGACAACAUACAAUACAAUAUUAGUGAUAAUACUAGCAUAAUUUGGUUGGAGUUGGAAACCCUUCUCAGGACCACGACUGGCAUUUUCAUUUUCAUCACUAUGAUGAACGAUCUGAUUAUUUAGAAGAAAAAUAAAAAUAAAAAUAAAAUGGAAAUUUCUAGUGUAUUGGGGAUCUGAUUGACAGGGGGGGGUUGAAAUCUAGCUUGCUAGAUGGUCCCCAAAUUAUAAUUUAGAAUGGAAAAGGUGGGAAAAGCUUGAAAGCAGCAGACACGGGCUUAUUCUAUUUCUCGAGGCCGUCCCGUAGACAGGAAGAUUUAAUGAUGAAAAAGAUGGUGGAAAUGGAAACAAUAUGAAUAUGGAAGUGUGUUUCAGAAUACAUAAUAAUGGUAAUAAUAAAAAUGGAUGGAUUGGAAUUUGGAUAUGUCUCAAGGGAACUAUGUCCGUCUUUAUUUAUACUAGUAAGUAACAACCAAAAGAGCAUAAUAGUUGUAUGAGGGAGGGAAGGAAAUAGAAUGUUUGAUGAAAGAUGAGGGGGAAAAUCAAUUUAAAGACUUUCACAUGUAAAAUAAAAUUGUGACCGUUUGAUGAUCACGAGGAUCCUAGUUGCACUUUGAACGUUGGAGCGCACUAGAUUCAAAAUCUGCUGCUUAGGUUUUUUUGUUUUUUGAACUUUAAGAAAUGAAAUCAAUCAACCCUUUAUUUUGUAGCGCUCGUCGCCCUCCACAAGUUUCAUGCUGCUGGUGCGUGCCAAGAAUCAUUUCUUGCGCCAAAGAAGAAGGCUAUAAUUUCUGCUGGUUUGGCUUGGAGUUAAAGAGCGCCUGACUUCUGAGUUGUGAGGGAAAUACUUUCAUGUGACUGGGUUGGUUGGUUGCUUCCUUCAAAUUUACUUCAUAUUGUAUUGAGGGCCAAAAACAAUAAGUUAAUUUUAAUUUAGUAUCUAAACUCUUACUUUUAAGACACGUUCUGUCCUUGCACUCUCAAUUUUAACGAUUACAUACAAUAAGCUUUUUAAUUUUGUGCAAUCUGGUUCUGACGUUAAUUUCAUUGUCAAAAUUUCCGUAAUUGCUUGUGUGACAAACUUGGAUCCCAUCUAUUUACUUAUUUCAAUUCAGUUGAAGGGUAUUUUGCUACAAAAAAAAAAGGGUUUGGUAUUAAUGUAUGCAAUGUGUUCUUCAUGGACGAGAAGACACCAAUUAUUCGAAAAAUACUCUUCAACUGACAUCGAAAUAAACGGAUAGAUGAGAUCCAUGCCUGCCACGCAAUCAAUUAACGGGAAUUUUGAUGUCCAAGUUAAUGCCGGAACCAGAUGGCAAAAAAUUGAAAAGUUUUGGGUAUGUAAUUGUUAACAUUGAGAGUGCAUGGACAAACGUACCUUAAAGGUAAGAGUUCAGGGUACUAAAUUGAAAUUAACUCUAAAAAACGCCCCUUUUAAAAAAGGUAUACAUGAAAGUAAUUUUCACCGUUUGUCAACUAGCUGGACAAUUUUCUCCCGAGCAAAUCAAUUGCAACAUUUAUAACGGUACAAUCUGAGUUUUAAUAGUUUGACAAAGACAAGUGAUGAUAAAAGAAUGGUUAGAUGGAGAGAAAAGGGAAGUGUGAAAAUCACUUCCCUUGAUCUACCGAAGAUAUGUUGCAACCACCUCCUCCUGGUCGGUACCACCAUAUCUAUUUGCUCCCAAGAAGUUCCAUUGAUUGCUCAUGAUUAUUGACUUUUCCUAAUUUGGAAGAUAGCUUUAGUGAUUAUAACCAGUAAAAGUGCUUUAAUCUGUCUUAAAUAGAUUCUAACUAGCAAAAGUGAUUUAAUCUGUCUUAAAUUGAAUGCUAAUGUUAUCCCCACUAUACAUCUCUAAUUUUAAUUAAUUAAGUUUGUUAUGUUUUUAUUUUUAUUUUUAUUUUUUUACUGUGUCAUGUUCUAAACUACUUUAAUUAAUCAGGAAUAAGAGAUUCAAAUUCCGACACAAGAAAAUGAACACACUACUCUAAUCAACUAUCCUAAUCUUCGCUCUAGUGAUCAUUUGCAUUUUGCAUACGGUAAGUGAUUGAGUAAAAGAAGGAUCUAGGGUUUUCUAGUACCGCUUGUCCGCUAUUCCAAAUUUCCAAAUGACAUGCACAUGCCUGCAGUGGAGAAGCUUUGACUUAUUAAGGGGAUGUUUGUCAAACUAUCGUCCUUCAGUUUUGACUUAUUUGGCCUUUUAACUUGUGUUUCUCUCCUAACUUUUCCCAAAUAGAAAUCAAAUUUUAUGUCUUCUCUACUGGAGGGCAUGGCCGGAACGGGCAGGUGCAGUGAUAGCUCUUCCAUUGUCCUGUCCUACAAGGAAGAAAAUAAAAUAAAAAAAGCAAUAAGGCUACCAAACAUUUAUAGUUUGAUGGUGAUUGAAAAUGAGGAAUUCUAAAAUAAAAGUUUCAUAUUUAUUUCCAAUCAAUAAAGACGUGUUUCGGAGAUUUUUUUUUGUUUUUUGUUUUUUUUGGAGAGAAAACGAAAUUUGAUUGAAGCAUUAUUACAAAUCAAAUUAUAUGUUUAAGUAAUAUCAUGGACACCAAAUUCAUCCAUGGACCAAAUCUGUGUCUCAAAUCAAAUGAUAUGUUCUAUUUGUCAAAGAACAUAAAUUCAAUGAUUUGGGUUUCCUCGUAAAUGAGUGAUCAAACCUGAAUCAGAUUAGGUUGCGUUGAUUGCGCUUAAAGGGGAAUUGGCCCCCAAUGCAUGUAUACGGAUCGACAAUGUUGACUAGGAUGUUGAAUCUAUGCGGAACUGGAAAACUAGAUUUCGGAGUCUUUUUAAGUUGAAGAAGAUAUUUUAGGCAGACAUAGUACCUAAUCUUGUAAACCUAAAAAACCUAGAGGGUCCUACCACAUGAUUCUUGUUUCAUGUUCAAAGUUUAUAUGGUUCAACAUCACAUGUUAAAAAAGGAAACUUUAUUAGCGGGGCCUUAUAGCUGAAAUGAUUAAGAGUAAUUAUCCUUAUACUUGAGGUAUUGUGUUCGAAUUCCCCCUCCUCCAAUUACCGCUUGGCUGGCCAUAUAUGUAAAUGGUAAUUUUCUCUUGCGAGGUUAAAUUAUGUUGCAAACACUGAUGCUUAUGUAUGGGCAAGAGAGAAGAAAAACAUCGCUCUUUUGUUGCUUGAUGAACAACACAAAAACAUCACUCUUUCCUUCAUAUAUAUGACACUAAACAUUAUUUGUAAACAUCCGCAUAUGUCCAGAAAACAUCCACAUAUGUCCUGUCCUGGAAAACAUUCAUUCCUACACACACACACACAUACACAACUGAUACACAGCAUACCUGGAGCUGGAGCUGGAUUAGGUGCAUGCCCUGUGUUGAUUCAAGGUACCGUACAAGGACUGAUUCAUGACUCAUGAGAGCUUUUAUUUAUUUGUUUAUUUAUAUAUGAAGAUGACGGACGGACGGACGGAUGGGUGGAUGUGUGUAAAGAGUGAGUGAGUGUCUACUUGACAAGGCCCAAGUUGAGGAUGCCCCAGGAAGUUUGUGGCCAUGAUCUGUCUCUUGCCUUCAUGAGCAGCACUCUUGCCCAAGCAAUCCAUCCUUCCCAAGACAUCCUCUUGUCCCAAGCACUCCCCCAUUCCAACAUCAGAGUCAGCCCUCUCUCUGCCUCUCUCUCUGCCUCCUCAAACUUUGCUUUUCUCAAAUAAACCUGAGCCAACACCACAUGUGGCUCCCCAAUAAAAGGGUUUCUCUCAACACACGACCUCAACAGAACCACCGUCGCUUCCUCAUCAUCAGCUCCUUUACCAUCAUCAACAAUCUCUCUCUUAGAAGACGACGACGACAUACCACAAACAGCUUCCCAGUACAAGUCCCUUGCAGCUAAUUGCUCCUUGGCAUCCAGAACCCUUGUGCACUUGUCGAAAACUGGUGGCACCACCAGCUCAAUAUCUUCAUCUCUAGAUUUGUCCAACUUGUCUCCAGUUGCAGUAGCACUAGUAAUUUUCCUCUCUUCAACAAAAAUCGCUUCCUCUCUCACCAUCAGAGUGUAUAUUGCAGCCAUUCUUGAUAUGGAAUUCAUCCAAAGCCCCGGCUUGCCAUCGCCAGGCCACAGAGCUGCAAAGUUGUUGCCCUUAAACUCAAGGCGGCCAUCUAUGUUAUCAAACAGCUCGUCCUGGAAACCAAAAAGUUGGUCACUGAAAUCUGCUAUUGUCAUCAUAAGAAACACUGCAACUACCCUCCUUGAGACCAAGACAUCUUCCCCGGUCUUUAUGUGCUUCACUGUAAUCCCAUUAGCAGGAACAAGAGUUUGCAGUUUCUUCCUCCAACUCCAAGGCGCUGCUGAGUGAUCCUCCUGAAUCUGAUCCUGAUUAUUAGAAUUAGAAUUAGUGGCAGGGGCAGCAAGCGAUACCUCAGAUUGUUUGAGAUGUUCAACGAGCUCCGAGUCUGUGUAGUGGAACAAAAGGUCAUCGUGAAUUAGAGACUGUCUUGGGACGAUACAGAAGAAGUGAAUCAAGCGUUCUGCAGCAUCCCCAACAUGGCCGCGGACCACUUCACGGCCUGUUGAGGGAUCAAAAAUGGCGAGGUUGACAUAGGAAUUGGAAUAAGCAGAGUGAAAGAGGCCGCAAAGGCAGACAGAAUCUUGGGCUUUCCAUAUCUUGAGAAUGCGGUAUAUGUCAACCAGGUGUUCAAGAAAGGUGCCAUGCUUGUGCCAGCACUCACCUGCUCCAACUGAGCGCAGCACACCCACAAGUGAAGGCAAAUUCUCGUCGAUCGCCUCCAGCUCGCCACGGAGGAAGGGGCGGGCCGAGUCUAAGAGCCUUUGCAAGUACUCCUGGCUGCUGCUCUCCGACUCCGAAGAAGAUCGAAGCGAUGAAGAUGGCAUUAUUGCUGCUGCUCCUCAAUUCUAUAAAUUUGAUAGGAUAAUCUAAAUUCUUUCUAAUCAGCAAUCAAAGCCAAGGGAAAAGCUACAAUACAGCAAGAGAGAGAGACGUAAAAAGAUUCGGUUCUUGUGAAAGCUCAGUUGUUGGGAAGAGAUAAGAUAAGGUUUUGUUUUGUUUUAUGGUUGUUCUGUUCUGUUUUGUUUGUUACUUUGCUUGUCGGGAUUUACGCCUUAGCUUUUGUAGAUGACUCUAUGCAGUUUGGAAAAGGAUUCCUACUUCAUAGAUGAUGACACAAACCAGAAAAACUUACUUGUAACAGGGUUCAUUGUUUUGCUAUUCCUGCUACUUCACAGACGGUGUUGGUGACUAAUAAUACAACGACACAUAAACUCAUUAUAAAUAAAUUUAAACUUCAGAGAGAUGCAAGGAUAACUCACCCCCACAACUAGGGAUUGUUCAGGAUUGAAAGGACUGGUCGGUAAGAGGAUUAUGUUUUUCAUUUUUUUUUGUCAAAAAGAAAGAUUAUUCAAUGCAACCUAGACAUAGGUUGAACUGGAAAUGAAAUGUUUGAACUUCGAACAUAAGGCCCAUUUCGCCUUCUUCUGUUCAGUUGAACGUUUAAUUUCUCAUGGCUUUCUCCUUCCAUAAGUAUAUAUGAUUAACUGAACUGAUCCAACCUCGCUAGUUUUUGAAAAUGAUUGUUUUGCUUGUGUAGUUGGAUUGGCACUCGCAGAAUCACUUCCCUAUGGUUAGUCGUUAUUUCUUCGUAAUAAUGUCACAUUCAAUUUUUACCCGUAAAACAAGUCACAUUCAAGAGAAAAAUGUAAAGAAGAGUCUCCAAUGUAGGCCUAUAAACGGGUCGGAGAUGAAGUGGAGCACUUGAAAUCCCACUCAAACCGAGUUCAAAUUUUUUUUGACCCGAUCCGAUUCGAAAUCCGAUUAGAUUCUAACAUCACCAUACCGGGCCAAAAAAAUAGAACAAAAAAGAAAAAAGAAAAGCGUUUUUUUAUGUAUUGUUUUGUGACGUGAAUCCUAUAUUAUUUGCAACACAUCCUCCUACCUGCAGCAGUCUAAUUAAUUCAGCCCAGAUCCUUGGGCAGGAACCAUUUCAAGAGCCUUCAUAAUGAAGGUAUAUAUGAAGGCAUCUUCUUGAAGCUUCUCAAAUCUGCACCAAACAAACAAGAAUAGGGAAGAAACACAAAUUAGUUCCUUACAGAGAAUGCAUGGAAAUACUUCAGACUUCAACGAUCUUGAAGGCCAUAGAGUUCUUGCUGUUUUUAAUUAUAAGCAAUUGUUCCUCUCACCUUUGUGAAAUUGUGACUUGCAUUUACAUCUAAAAUGAACGGAUAAUAAUAUUUUAUUUAAAAUGAAUAAUCCACUCUGUUUCAGAAAUACUAGCCAAAAGAAUUUUACCUCCCCGACUUUGAAGAAUGGCCAGCACCAAAUUCACAUUUAAACAUAACGAUGUUUUUAUCAGUCUUCAUAUCCCUUAGUUUUGCCACAAAUUUAGCAGGUUCUGAAUACAUCACACGUGGAUCUGUUGCAAUAAACCAGUGUCUCAAAUGGAAUGCCAGGAGAAAAAAAGCAUUAUCAGAUAUAAUUAUAACUUCCCUCUUUCCAUUACACAGCUGAGUCUCAUCCAUGGGAUCAGCCACCAACAUCCAAUAAGCCCUACCCACGAAGUCCUCUAAACAUAAUGAUUUGACUUAAACAUUAAAAUGUGUUUAACAGUGCUCAGUUGCUGUUGGAGAAUAAAAGUAUUUCUAACUAGGAUUCUACGUGAGUAUUUGUUUAGCAGUGUAAAGUAACUUCCUCCUGUAAGUGAUUUGAUUUGAUUUACUUUCUUUCUGUGAUUAGGCUUAGACUCUAUUUAAAACCUUCUAGGGUUAAAGUUAAGAUCAAAGUAUUACCCUACUUUUUCAACAAGGUACAACACGACUUAAUCUUUUUAAACAGGGUUCCUUUUUUCCAGACCGCAAGCCUUCCGAUAGAUUUUAAUUAUAUACAUAAAGCAAUUAUCUGACAAUUUCCUAUUUCAAGAUAAUAAUGAACUAUAUCGUGGGAGCACCCUGCAAUCUUUCAUGGCAAUGCCAACUAUUUCAAGAUAAUGAAGAAAUUGAAAUUGCAGAAGCAAAAGUGUUAUGAUCUUGUGCCUACCAUUUAGACCAGCAGUAACAAGAAUGUUUGGAUAAUUUUGCACCUUAACCUGCAUAAAAUAAUGCCAAACUUAGAUCAUUAAGGUAAAAAAUAUUUUAGGAAUGUAUUACAAUUCAUGACUUAGUGCUUGGCAAUUUUAUCUGGGACAGAAGAAUAGAGAAAGGUCUUUAAUUUUGCCUAUUUGUCUGUUGUCUGUAAAUGAUCACUUUGAUGAUACCAAAUUAUGGUUAUUCUAGCUUACUUGUUAUAACGAUACUGAUUAAAGCAGUACAGAACAGGUUAUUGUCCUCACAUUAUCAACAGGGGAAUACGACUUCAUGUAAAAGUAGAACUCCUCUUUACGUGGAUCACCCCAUUCCUGCAGAAACAAAAUUAUAUCAGUGAAUAGUAUCUAAACAUACAUUUUGAAAAAAAAUAGUAGCAAGCUGACUGCAGUCACCAAGAGUCACCUUAGAUCAUAAAGAUGGGGCAAAUGGAUAUAAUUAGGUAGAUCUGGAAAACCAAAGAAUAUUUAAACAAAGUUCAAGCGAAGAACUCCAAAAAUUUUGUAGCGCAAAAAUAAGAAAAGAACAAGGAAAAAUCGUGAUGUCAAGUUCGGGUUGACCCAUACAAGGAUACAAGUUGCAUUUGAUGACAGUAUCAAUUAACUAGUGUUGCAUUUAUGUGAUGUUUAAAAUGAUGUGAUCAUUAUAUUAUUAUCCACCCCAGUUAAUCAUUAAAUCCCUAAGGAGAUUAAGUUAACAAUGCCCAAGUGAUGAUCCAUAAAACUAGAUGUUCAUCACAUGCAAGCUACGGCAUCCAAGAAAAUUCACCAGUUAUAGACAUAGCAAGAGUAUUUCUGCAUUCAUAACAAACAAUUUUACUAGGGAAUUUCUUCUUCAUUUCUUUCAUCCUGUUAAUGCUUCAACGUAAGAAUCUCAUGAGGAAAAGUAAAAUACCUCCCACUCUGAAGUUGUGAGAGGGAUAGUUGGAUCAAGCAUUGUCGUCAGAACAUCAACAAAAGGCACUCCAGCAACAGCAGCCUUGAACAAAUCAGGCCUCAUAUUAAGAACAGCACCAAUAAGCAAUCCACCUGCACUCCUUCCAUCAAUGCAUAAUCUUGCUUUUGAACAGUACUUCUUUUCUAUCAAAUACUCAGCACAAGCAAUAAAAUCGGUAAAAGUAUUUUUCUUCUUUAGUAACUUUCCAUUCUCAUACCACUGCCUCCCCAUUUCACCACCCCCACGAAUGUGAGCUAUAGCAUAAAUAAAACCAUGAUCCAGCAAAGACAGCCUUGAAGCUUUAAAACUGGGAUCUAUGCAGACCUGUUGACAAGAUAAGGCUCCAAGUCAUUGAGAGAGAAAUGAAUACAAGUGGAGAAAAAAAUAUUCCCAAUGGCUUGAUAUUGCCUCCUGCAGCAUUUUACAUGAGCUAGACUAAAGUCUAUCUUGACAAAAGUCAGCAAGUUGUUACACCAGAGUGAUUAGAGCAAAGCCAGAAGAGUAACCCGACAUUAAGAAGUUCAAGGUUCUGAAAAGCUUAAUAUGUGGCUUUAUUUAGGAUCUUCAUUUCGUUUUUGUAGGAAACAAUAAUCUUACUGAAAAAAUAAGUUAUAAAACAGGGUAGACAAGAAAUCCAUCAGAAACACAGAAACAAAAACCUUAAAAAGCACCUUCUCCCAAGAUGUUGGCUUUAAGUAGGAUUUUAAUGCUUUUUCUCACCAAGAAAUUAGGAUUCUAAAGAUUUUCACAAACCUGUAGAAGAAAGACGCCAAGAGGACCACUGACAAACUUCAACGUAUAUGCGCAAGAAUUACUGAACUGUGAUCAGAAUUAGGCAUCAUAGGCCAGAGACCAAAUUUUACAUGCUAAUUACUAAUCCAAACGGAUGCUAUAAGGCUAUAACAAGAAAACUUGUAAGCUUCUUAAGAAGACAUCUGAUGUUCAUGCAUUAAAAAAGGCAGACAAAAAGAAAUGGGAAUCAGGACUCAUCUCUCGACUCCUGAUUCUCCCGAGGUGUAUGGCUUUAAUGUUGCUGAAAAGGAAGACUAGAGCAGUUACAUAUAAAAUUCAGAAACUUAUCUUUGUGCCAAUCUCUAGUACUAUAACGCAGGGAAUGACUGCAAUCACAAAGAUGGCUCUGGUUACAUAUCUUUAAGGGCUUCAGAUUUCAGGGCUGUACUUUGAUUAAUUGACCAAUUAGAAGUUCUCAAGGGGUAUUUUGAAACAUCUCGCAAAUUUUCUACAAGACAUGCUUCUCAAUGUAAUCACAUUUGGAAUAUAAUGAUUGCAGUAAAAACAAAAAAAUAUAAAUAUAUCACUCGUGCCUAGUUUAAUCUACGAAUUCUUUUGUUACCUCAUAGGAGCCAUAGCCAUAGAGUAGCAAUGGAUCCGAUCCAUCAAGUUUUAUGAGAUCCUUCCUGUAAACAAUUGAUAUUGGUAUCUGAGUACCAUCUGGAGCACUAGCCCAUUUCCUUUCAGUAACAUAAUUUGAUGCUUCAAAACCUCCCAAAACCUGAGAAACAAAAUUGACAACAAUACUUCUGAAUUACAAUAUUGAAAUUUGUGUCUAAUUUGAUAGUAAGAAAAAGGCAACACUUGACCAGGCAUCAAAUAACUCAGGAAGAUGCCAUACAACCCAACUUUUUUGCCAACUCUCUCAUGUACGAGGUUCUGUGAUAUCAUGGAUCUCAUUCCAUGCAAGACAAUUGGGGGGACAAAAAACAAAGCAGACAAAAUUGGGGACAAAGUGAAGUGUAAAGCAUUUUCCAAUAACAUAAUCAAUGUAGAAGUGACUACUGUAUAUGAAAUGGAAAUGUAUAAAAGUUCCACUUUAAAUAUUUAACUUUGAAAACCAAAAUAGUCCUUCUACACAGUAAAUAAACUUCCUGCGGUUGGAACUUCAUUGGUAUUUCCCCUGCAAAAUCUCACAUCAUCGUACUAAUAAGAAACCCAAUUGCAUACCCUUAUUUUUUAAGGAAAAAAACUAUGUUGUGUAAAGUUUAUACAAUUUUGAACAAUGACCGUACUGAACCAACUUAUGUUCUUUCUUUUAGCUUCCUUAUACAAACUACAAUUUCUUGGUUGGUAUAUAUUCAUAACAGUAUAUGGAGUAUUCGAAAAUGAAAGAGAGCAAAAAUAUAAGAACGAGAUAAUAUGAGUGAAUAUUAUGAUCAUGUCAUGCAAAACCAGCAUUCUCCCUAGACCUACAAUAAACUUCGCAUUAGUAAACAGAUAUGACCAUUAAAGAAGGUAACAUUUUCACACAACACACACACACAUACACUCAUGCACACGCAAAAACACAUUUACACACACAUACACACACAAAGGAACAAUAAGGCCAGGUAUAUAUAUUAAAGGUAAUAAACGAAAUCUUAAUUUCCAAAAUAAAAUAAAGUAUAAAUUCAUUACUGUUGCAAGUUGAACCAAUAACAUUCCUAUAAGGAGAGUUAAAUAAGACACAAUAGCAAGCUUUGAAAUGCCAAUAAAAACAACUUACUGUUUCGAUCUUCUUCAAAACAGAAAUGCCUGUCUUCAUAUCAUAAUCAUAUACAGACGGAGGCGUUUUCAUUGAGCUAUAAGAAAAUCUUAAAAUUCUGGAAGAAAAUUCUGAUUCUGAUCGAUCCACAGAGUAUGUGGGAUCCAAAAAAUUAACAGCUUGACCACUGUGAAGGCUUUUAAGCGGUUGUCCAACAUCUGGAAGGUGAUAGAUAGUGACUUUUGGUAGACCCUCUUCACGCUCAUAUACAACAAGGUGUUCACUAAAAAGUUGUAUAUCCUGAAUUUUUACACUGAAGAAAAUUCUAAUUAGUAUGCUUAAAAUAAGAAAGAAAAUUUGCCUGCUAAAAAUAGUGAAGGUCAAAAAAUUGCCACAGAUUUUUCACGCCCCGAGAAAAAUUCUAGAAUGAAUAUGCAAAUGCAUAAGCAGCAAUUGGACAAUAUGGCAUGGAGGACUGAACAACACAUCUAACUCCAUCCAUUGUUAUAUCUCUCUUAUUUACAGUUAAAAGAGCACAUCAAAGGAAAAUAGCUAGAGAAAGGCUCCAGAAAAAGGUUCAGUUUCAUUUCUAGAAAAUGUGCUGCAAAUCACAUUUAGAUAUAAAAUGUUUCCAAUCAUGCAUAUCACAUUCAAUUUACACUUAAGCUGAUAAUGCCACAACUAGGACAUAAGACAUAAUUUUCAUAGUUCUUAAAAUUUUUAAAAAUGACAAGUCAAUUCAUGAACAUUUUAAGGUCAUGAAUGAGGAUGCGACUACCAAAUUUGAUGAUUACCUUUCCCUGUGUGGAAGAAGAACAGUAGUUUCAGAUGUAUUUUCCAGUGGACAAGCAAUUACUUCAGAAUUAAAACAUUUGUCACUUCUCCUCCUUAUAAAAAAAUGAUUUCCUCGAUGACUAACAAAUGUAUCAAUGCCAUUUACACGAGGUGUCAGAACCACAAGCCCAUCUUCAAGCUUUGCAAUAUCAAGGUAAAAGUUGAAUCUUGUAAUUUUACUUUCAGAUCCAACAAAUAAGAAUUUUUUGCUCUCAGAAGUUUGAAGGUCAAGAGAAAACACAUCAUCCUUUUCAUGAUAGAGGCACGAGUCACUUGACUGUUCUGUUCCCAACUUAUGUAACCAUGCCUAUUAAAAAGAAAACACGUUAUAAGCUAAACAAAAAGGAUUAAGCAGCACUUCACUCAUAAAAGUAAACGAUCGAACAGAAUGCAUGUAAAAGUUCUCUUCUGUGUGAGUAAGCCAGACAGGGGUAAGGCAUGACCUCCUGGCUCACUGCAACAAGACAAACCAGCAAGAAAACAGAAUGGACUUAUACAGAAAUAUAGGAGGAUGCAUUCUAACGAGGCAUUGUCACCAGUUCUCAUGAAAAAUUAUGUAAUCAUUUGUAUUCUCACAUAAAAGCAUGGGGCUGUGGUCAUUGAGCACAAUAUCUAAUAGUCAACAAAAAUAAACACAGGAGAGCCUCAUACAUAGGAUGUAAACAAAUGGGGGGAAGCGCGGUAACAGAACCACUGGUAAGUUGCUGAAUUCUAAAAUUUACCUGAACAUGAAGAUCUUCAACACCAAUAAGAUAGCUAAAUAUCUUAUAAUGCUCUCUAGUCCUUGAAUAAUGACAACUCAAAAAUUAAUGGCACAAAGAAUUGAACAUGCAGGUGAAGUGGGUGUGUGAAACAUGCCGUGACAUGAGAAGCAGAGGGCUUGAAGCAGUAGAAUCAAACCUUGUCAGGCCGGAGAGUUUCAUCCAUUGUAAUAUAAACUAAAGCCUCAUCACCAGCCCAUUGAAGAUAGGAUGUUGCAUCAACUAGAGGCAGUCCCACAGGAGCACCUGUCUCAGCAUCAAUGACAUGAAUUGUAUAAAUUUCAUUUCCUUUGGUGUCUUCUGCAUAUGCCACCAAUUUAUUAUUUGGACUAACCUGAAGAAGCAAUUACAAAAAAGUGGAGAACUUUGUAUAAUCAAACAAGAAACCACUGCAAUAUCUGUUAUAAUCAUAUACACCAUUGUUGUGGUUACCUUAAAAGCAGCAAUGCUAUAAUAGUCAUGAUGUUGAGCCUUAAUAUUCUCAUCCAAGAUUACAUGCUCGGGAGGAGCAUCAGGUCCGGUGGGCAUUGUAUCAUAUACAGAGGGUGGGGCCUCAGCCUGGAAGUUGGGUAUUAAGCGGCGACAACGCUGAACAUAUUCCUUACCCUUCAAAGUCCUUCGAUAGUAAUAGUAGGGGCCUUUUCGUUCAGGUGCAGAUAUAUCAUCCUCCUUGAUCCUCCCCCUUAUCUCAGCGUACAGUUCAUCUUCAAAUUUCUUAGUUCCUAAUGUAAAUAAAUCAAUUAAAAAUAAAAUUACAUUGCUUUGCUACUAAAGUUAGAAACAAGCAAACAAUAAUAGAUUAAAGGGUGUUGAAUGAAGAUCAAAUCAAAGUCGAAAUACAGACAAUUAAUAGUUGAAUACAAGUAACAAAGACAAAUGAGACGGGAAACGAAGGGAUAAGAUGGAAAGAACAGAUAGGUGGAUACCUACCGGACAUGAGGAAUUGGGUGUAAGCGUUCUCUUGUUGAAGGUAAGAGAGGACGUCGGGGUUGGAGCGAGAGUCGUCUCGAAGCCAAUAGUAGUUGUCCACUCUCACGUCUCCGAACAUCUCCAUCUUAUGCUCCACCUUCUUCGCCAUGGGAGGGGGAGGGGGAGGCUCACUCUGGCUCAUCCUCACGGCUGCUGCUUCUGAUGAUGACGAUGACGCUCGGACGGUGAUGGAUGCAGAGGCACCAACUGACGACAAUACAACUGCUGGAAGGAACACAAGCUGCUGAACCAGGUUUACAAAGCUCACACCCUUGCUGGCCCUGUGGCCUUGCAUUCUCAUCUGUGCUAUAUAUAAUAAUCCGAAUUAAUAAUAGGCUAGUAAUUAAUUAAUUUUUUUAGUAAACAAAUUUAAUUGCUUAUUUUUAUAAUCCAUUUAAGAUUACACAAACUCUGAAAAUAAAUCCAUUUAAGAUUUCACAAACUCUGAAAUUCUCAAAAAUGGCAUCUGUAUGAAUGAUACAUUUGGAUUGGGUGGGUGCACCGUGCAAUACAUCUGUAUGAAUGAUUUGCCUUGUCUUGUGUUUACAUGAUAAGAUGAUGAGUUGAUAAUUUAUUUGUGGUGAAUUAGACUUCAACAUUUGGAUUUUGGUAUUGUCGUUUUGCCCCGUCCAUUUUAACAUGUAUUUAUCAAAUAGAUUCCAUUUCAACAUGUAAAAUCUAUUCGCACUGUUUCUGUAAAUGCAAAUCAAGCCGGGGUUUUUAUUGGAUUCGACAUUUAUUUUACAUUAUGCCGGGGUUUUCAUCGAACGCAUUUCUAGUAUAUUUAUGUAUAGUUAGAGGGUUUAGGAGCUGGAGCUGGAGCUGGAGCUGGUGCAUGCCCUUUGUUGAUUCAAGGUACCGUACAAGGACUGAUUCAUGACUCAUGAGAGCUUUUAUUUAUUUGUUUAUUUAUAUAUGAAGAUGACGGACGGACGGACGGAUGGGUGGAUGUGUGUAAAGAGUGAGUGAGUGUCUACUUGACAAGGCCCAAGUUGAGGAUGCCCCAGGAAGUUUGUGGCCAUGAUCUGUCUCUUGCCUUCAUGAGCAGCACUCUUGCCCAAGCAAUCCAUCCUUCCCAAGACAUCCUCUUGUCCCAAGCACUCCCCCAUUCCAACAUCAGAGUCAGCCCUCUCUCUGCCUCUCUCUCUGCCUCCUCAAACUUUGCUUUUCUCAAAUAAACCUGAGCCAACACCACAUGUGGCUCCCCAAUAAAAGGGUUUCUCUCAACACACGACCUCAACAGAACCACCGUCGCUUCCUCAUCAUCAGCUCCUUUACCAUCAUCAACAAUCUCUCUCUUAGAAGACGACGACGACAUACCACAAACAGCUUCCCAGUACAAGUCCCUUGCAGCUAAUUGCUCCUUGGCAUCCAGAACCCUUGUGCACUUGUCGAAAACUGGUGGCACCACCAGCUCAAUAUCUUCAUCUCUAGAUUUGUCCAACUUGUCUCCAGUUGCAGUAGCACUAGUAAUUUUCCUCUCUUCAACAAAAAUCGCUUCCUCUCUCACCAUCAGAGUGUAUAUUGCAGCCAUUCUUGAUAUGGAAUUCAUCCAAAGCCCCGGCUUGCCAUCGCCCGGCCACAGAGCUGCAAAGUUGUUGCCCUUAAACUCAAGGCGGCCAUCUAUGUUAUCAAACAGCUCGUCCUGGAAACCAAAAAGUUGGUCACUGAAAUCUGCUAUUGUCAUCAUAAGAAACACUGCAACUACCCUCCUUGAGACCAAGACAUCUUCCCCGGUCUUUAUGUGCUUCACUGUAAUCCCAUUAGCAGGAACAAGAGUUUGCAGUUUCUUCCUCCAACUCCAAGGCGCUGCUGAGUGAUCCUCCUGAAUCUGAUCCUGAUCAUUAGAAUUAGAAUUAGUGGCAGGGGCAGCAAGCGAUACCUCAGAUUAUUUGAGAUGUUCAACGAGCUCCGAGUCUGUGUAGUGGAACAAAAGGUCAUCGUGAAUUAGAGACUGUCUUGGGACGAUACAGAACUGCUAAAAUAUGAAAAUUAUGAGAGAAUAUUUAUUUGUGGGAAUUUUCUGUGUAUUCUUCUCCUUGUAGGAGGUCAUAUUUAUAAUACAACGAAACCUGA